AGCGGGAUUAGAAAACAGAUCAGUCACACAGUUGUUUAUUCUUCAAGCCCAUGUCAUUAUCUACACAAAAGAGCUAGUGAACAAGCACGGAGUAGGAGGUCAAAAACGAGACACGGCGAGAGAGUGGGCUGGUGAAAGAGAAAAUUCAGAACGCUGUGUCAUAUGUAUCGUAUGACUUCUAAAGCAAGACCGUGCAAAGGAGCUGGGAAAGGGAGGCGUGACAAGAAGGGAGUGUUGAUCUCAGCAAAUCAGACCUCUCACUUGUUCAGUCUGGUUUGUACUGCCCAGACCUGGAUGUUCCCUGCAGAUGUCCUGUGGGAAGAUUGGAUUCUGCCUAUGUUUUUAGUCUACAGGUUGGCUGCCCUUCUAGGACCUCGUAUCUCAUCUAGCUCUCUAACUUGAACCCCAAUGUGACAUUCUGACCAAUGGUUAGAGAGACUCUGUCCCCUAAAUGGAAUGCUGCAGAGGAAAAUCAUCUAUUUAUACUUGUUCUUUUUAAAAAUAUAAGACACAACAGACCUGUUAAAGCUCUGAUUUUUUUUAGAUGUACAUAAGAAAGAAAUUUGCUUAUAACGGUUACAUUUUAAUAAGCUGUACAAGGUCAGAAAUAUUCUAUGACAUCAACCUCCAGUCAGGACAUUUUAACUGGGUGAUCUAAAUGACUUUGUAUAACCUUAUGUGUCUGUAAAUGAAUCAACUUGACUUAUUCAUUUACAGACAUAGUCUUGUUUAUGUAUGAGAAGAAUGUUCCUUCAGAUUUUUCCUGCACAUGAUGUCUGGCACAGGAAAAAUGAUACGUGAGCUCGACUUGAUCUGCUGUUUUCUGUGCCUUAUUCUGAUACGUGUGAGGUAUGAUCCCUGGGGCUGACCUUCAGUGCAGCCAUCUGUAAGGUAAAGCAGUGGUUCUCAAACUUUUCACAGCGACAGUUCCCGACUCACCGAUGACAUCUCCCACACCUCCACCGAUUCUCCCGGGGGCCUUCGACUCAUCGAUGGUGGCUGGGAUCACGGCACAGCGGCACCAUGGGAAAAGGGCUGUGUUUUUACCAUCAGUGUGACGGUGCCGUGCUGCCUUUGCAGUUUUAAGGCCCAGGAAAUUUCCCAGAAUUUCCCAGAGGAACCCACCUGAGGGAUUAAUAAAGUUUUAUCUUAUCUUAAAACGAGCCCGCCAGUGCUCUGUAGCGGCGAUAAGGAAAGGCUGCUCUUCAUAGAGGACUCACCCUCGGGGAGACGUUUUCUGGUUGACUCCGGUUCCCAGAAGAGCCUCGGGAACUCUUGUGUCGUCUUUGCAUACCUCCAUAAUAGUAUAUUAUUUAAUCUUUAAAAAAAAAUUGGAGAUUUCCUGCGUACUACCAGAGAGAGCCCAAGUACUACUAGUGAUACCCGUACCACAGUUUGAGAACCACUGCAGUAGAGGAGCACUGCUGCAGUGGCAAAAACAGCUGCACUGUCCUCUGUGGGAUAUUGAUUGAUCUCAGCUCAACGUGGGUCAUUUAUUUAAAUACUCAUGGUGAAACAAACUUAAGUGGGCACAAUGUGGUUAUGCUAUGUACGCACAUGGCCUAUGUAGUAUAAUUUGUUCUUGAACAUUAGCAUAAAAGGAAUGCUUGUGUGGGUGCGAACAAACAAUAUGACCUUCCUCAGGUAACUCAGUGCACCUAAAACCAACUGACAGACGCAGAGAGAGAGACAGGGCAUGCAGAUAGAUUAGAUUACCGAGCUGUGAAGAGAGACAGUGCCAGAAAGCCUGCUACUGUAUUCUUAUCAGACGAUAAAAAAACAUGCAAGUUUGAAGAAGCACAGGUUUUCCAAAGGUAUUUAUGUAAGUAAUGGUUAACAAGAACUCGCAUGAGCACAGUGUUGAAUUCUCCUUGUUGGCUGCCACAAUCUAUGGUUUAAAAAAUCAUCAAUUAACUCAGCAAAACCUGUCAGACUCAGCUAGAAUGCCUCACUUGCUAACAGCAAUUCAAAGUACGCUUAUUCUUUAAAACAAGUCUUAGCAUAAAGGCAGGCAAAGGGGGAAAAGAGCCAAGGGAAGAGGAGUGCAUGGUUAAACACUUAAAGCUAAAACACAUGGAGUAAGACAACAGCUUUCCAACACAUGGUGCAUUUAAGUACAGCCCAUGUGUGGAUGCACACACUGUGUGGGUAAUUAACUCAGAAUGUAGCUUUAUCUUAUAUAGAGGAACAACAAAAUAAAAGCACAGCUAUGUAAUGAAAUGCAGAUGUGAUGAAUGAGCACCUUGGCCAUUCAGCUUUGUAAAAAAAAAAGAAAUGUUUAAAGGAAAAGCUGGAGCAGCGUAUUUUGUUUCACAGGUGACAGAAAGUCAAACACAGUUUACUAUCCGAGGACAAACUUGACCUCUGAAACUACUAAUGUUAAAAGAAAGUGAUUGGACUUCUACUGUUAGAAAUAUUUGUCGUCCCUUUAACAGCAAAGAUAAGCAACUUUUUCAUCAAUACAUCUGUGAGGACCAAAGACCUUUUAAAUCACAAAAAUCCCUCAGAAAUUCUCGUUGGACUGUUCUCACAUUCAUUUUGCAGCAGUGACAACAAAUGUCUUCAGUGACCAGGUGUCCACAGAACCCUGGUCACGGUGAAAGUAGAAAAGCAGCAGAUUUUAAUCAAACACCAAACUCCACCCAUGAACCUAAACCUAAUUCUUUAUUGGUAAAUGUUAAGAGAUUUUUACAUUUACUUACUUUGAUAACUUUUAUUUUGCUUAAGUAUAAUUUCUUGUGAGAACAUGAUGUGCCUGUAACCUACAGAUUAAGGAACAGAAGCAUGCGUGAGGAAGUUACAAAGUCACACACUCUCAGGCAGAGACAGUUCCAACCUGAAGCUGAUAUGACAAAAGAUACUAGUUCCUCUUGUCUUAUGGAUAACGGCCACUCAUGCGAUAACCAUAUCUAGAGAUGUUUUUCUAUUACGUAUGCUCCACCUAGAGAUGCUGUGUAAUCUAUUCUCUGCUAUAAAAUAAAGAACGGACUGAGGCUC